AGUAUCGCGUAGGGAUUUAUCGUUGGGUGGGGGAGUAACCGUGGGAAACUGCGGCUAAUACCGCAUGACGCCUGUGGGCCAAAGCCUGUGAGGGUGCCUGAUGAGGAGCCUGCGUCCGAUUAGCUAGUAGGUUGGGUAAUGGCUGACCUAGGCUGUGAUCGGUAGCUGGUCUGAGAGGAUGAUCAGCCACACUGGGACUGAGACACGGCCCAG
rnacentral:rRNA from 1 species